rnacentral:rRNA from 1 species
AUUGAACGCUGGCGGCAUGCCUUACACAUGCAAGUCGAACGGUAACAGGUCUUCGGAUGCUGACGAGUGGCGAACGGGUGAGUAAUACAUCGGAACGUGCCCAGACGUGGGGGAUAACGAGGCGAAAGCUUUGCUAAUACCGCAUACGAUCUAAGGAUGAAAGCAGGGGACCGCAAGGCCUUGCGCGUUUGGAGCGGCCGAUGGCAGAUUAGGUAGUUGGUGGGAUAAAAGCUUACCAAGCCGACGAUCUGUAGCUGGUCUGAGAGGACGACCAGCCACACUGGGACUGAGACACGGCCCAGACUCCUACGGGAGGCAGCAGUGGGGAAUUUUGGACAAUGGGCGAAAGCCUGAUCCAGCAAUGCCGCGUGCAGGAUGAAGGCCUUCGGGUUGUAAACUGCUUUUGUACGGAACGAAAAGGCUCUGGCUAAUACCUGGGGCACAUGACGGCACCGUAAGAAUAAGCACCGGCUAACUACGUG